UACGUAGGGUGCGAGCGUUGUCCGGAAUUACUGGGCGUAAAGAGCUCGUAGGUGGUUUGUCGCGUUGUUCGUGAAAACUCACAGCUCAACUGUGGGCGUGCGGGCGAUACGGGCAGACUGGAGUACUGCAGGGGAGACUGGAAUUCCUGGUGUAGCGGUGGAAUGCGCAGAUAUCAGGAGGAACACCGAUGGCGAAGGCAGGUCUCUGGGCUGUAACUGACGCUGAGGAGCGAAAGCAUGGGGAGCGAACAGG
rnacentral:rRNA from 1 species